rnacentral:rRNA from 1 species
ACAUCCAGAGAACUUAGCAGAGAUGGCUUUGGUGCCUUCGGGGAACUCUGAGACAGGUGCUGCAUGGCUGUCGUCAGCUCGUGUUGUGAAAUGUUGGGUUAAGUCCCGNAACGAGCGCAACCCUUAUCCUUUGUUGCCAGCGGUUCGGCCGGGAACUCAAAGGAGACUGCCGGUGAUAAACCGGAGGAAGGUGGGGAUGACGUCAAGUCAUCAUGGCCCUUACGGCCAGGGCUACACACGUGCUACAAUGGCGCAUACAAAGAGAAGCGACCUCGCGAGAGCAAGCGGACCUCAUAAAGUGCGUCGUAGUCCGGAUUGGAGUCUGCAACUCGACUCCAUGAAGUCGGAAUCGCUAGUAAUCGUAGAUCAGAAUGCUACGGUGAAUACGUUCCCGGGCCUUGUACACACCGCCCGUCACACCAUGGGAGUGGGUUGCAAAAGAAGUAGGUAGCUUAACCUUCGGGAGGGCGCUUACCACUUUGUGAUUCAUGACUGGGGUGAAGUCGUAACAAGGUAGGCGUAGCGAG